rnacentral:rRNA from 1 species
UGCCAGACUCCUACGGGAGGCAGCAGUGAGGAAUAUUGGUCAAUGGGCUUACGCCUGAACCAGCCAAGUCGCGUGAGGGAAGACUGCCCUAUGGGUUGUAAACCUCUUUUGUCAGGGAGCAAUUGGCGCUACGUGUAGCGUUAUCGAGAGUACCUGAAGAAAAAGCAUCGGCUAACUCCGUGCCAGCAGCCGCGGUAAUACGGAGGAUGCGAGCGUUAUCCGGAUUUAUUGGGUUUAAAGGGUGCGUAGGCGGGCUUUUAAGUCAGGGGUAAAGGCCGGGGCCUCAACCCCGGCGAGCCGUUGAAACUGGCUGUCUUGAGAUGUCGAGAGGUAUGCGGAAUGCGCAGUGUAGCGGUGAAAUGCUUAGAUAUUGCGCAGAACUCCGAUUGCGAAGGCAGCAUACCGGCGGCGAUCUGACGCUGAGGCACGAAAGCGUGGGUAUCGAACAGGAUUAGAUACCCCCGUACC